CGUUCCCGGGCCUUGUACACACCGCCCGUCAAGUCACAAAAGUUGGUAACACCCGAAGCCGGUGGCCUAACCCCUUGUGGGAGGGAGCUGUCGAAGGUGGGACUGGCGAUUGGGACU
rnacentral:rRNA from 1 species